rnacentral:rRNA from 1 species
GACGAACCGUGCGAACGUUGUUCGGAAUCACUGGGCUUAAAGGGCGCGUAGGCGGGCAUCCAAGUCAGUGGUGAAAUCCUCCGGCCUAACCGGAGAAGAGCUGUUGAUACUGGGUGCCUCGAGUGGUGCAGGGGUCUGCGGAACUUCCGGUGGAGCGGUGAAAUGCGUAGAUAUUGGAAAGACCACCAAUGGCGAAGGCACUCUACUGGGCCAUAACUGACACUGAGAGACGAAAGCUAGGGGAGCAAAUGGG